GGACCAUUAGCUCAGCGGUUAGAGCAGGGGACUCAUGAUCCCUUGGUUCUUGGUUCAAAUCUUGGGACCAGAUGGUUUU
rnacentral:tRNA from 1 species